rnacentral:rRNA from 1 species
GACGAACGCUGGCGGCGUGCUUAACACAUGCAAGUCGAACGAAGUGGCGAACGGGUGAGUAACGCGUAAUCAACCUGCCCUUCAGAGGGGGACAACAGUUGGCAACGACUGCUAAUACCGCAUACUGAAGGAGGGGAUUGCGUCUGAUUAGCUCGUUGGAGGGGUAACGGCGCACCCAGGCGCUGAUCAGUAGGCUGUCUGGAAUGAUGAACGGCCACAUUGUGACUGGGACACGGCCCAGACUCCUAAGGGAGGCAGCAGUGGGGACUCUUCCGCAAUGGGCGAAAGUCUGACGGGGCAACGCCGCGUGAGUGAUGACGGCCUUCGGGUUGUAAAGCUCUGUUAAUCGGGACGCGGUACCGGAAUAGAAAGCCACGGCUAACUACGUGCCAGCAGCCGCGGUAAUUC